rnacentral:rRNA from 1 species
AUUGAACGCUGGCUACAUGCUUAACACAUGCAAGUCGAGGGACCGGCGCACGGGUGAGUAACACGUAUCCCACCUGCCCUUUACUCGGGGAUAGCCUUUCGCAAGAAAGAUUAAUACCCGAUUUAACGGAUGUGUAUGCGUUCCAUUAGGUUGUUGGUGAGGUAACGGCUCACCAAGCCUUCGAUGGAUAGGGGUUCUGAGAGGAAGGUCCCCCACAGUGGAACUGAGACACGAUCCAAACUCCGACGGGAGGCAGCAGUGAGGAAUAUUGGUCAAUGGGCGUUAGCCUGAACCAGCCAAGUAGCGUGAAGGAUGAAGGCUUAUGGGUCGUAAACUUCUUUUAUAUAAGAAUAUGUAUUAUAUGAAUAAGGAUCGGCUAACUCCGUGCCAGCAGCCGCGGUAAUUC